rnacentral:lncRNA from 1 species
CGACAAAAUAUAUUAAUCGUGGGAAAAGCUUUAUUUAAUAUUACGCACGCAUUCUCUUUUCAUUUCAAUAAUCGUACACCGACCGUGAGAAUCGUCGGAAAUUGAAAUUAUUCGACCUUAAUUUUACUUAUUCUAUCCUAACAUAAGUGAGCUUUUGUUCUUUCUCUCUCUCUCUCUCUCUCUCUUUGUAUGUUUUAUUUUUAUAGAAAAUGCAUUUCAUUUUUGAAUCACAUGUAAAUAUAAUAUAUAUGCAUCUUACACGGCAAAUGUUUAUAGUCAAUCAGAAAAGGGUAUCGCGUAGGUCAGAACGUCUACGAAGAAGAAAAGCAGCUUUCCAAGUGUCAGAUAAUAGUUAUUAUUAAUAAUCACUUUGUACUUUUACUUGUAAAAAGGAGAAAGAGAAAGAGAAAGAAAGAAAGAAAGUACUCUAUCGACAGUCGUUUGAACAAACUUGAUGUGAUUCAUACAAAAGCACAUAUGUACAAUAUAAUUAGUAUAUAGAUAUGUUGCAAAUACUAUAUGAACGAAUAAAACCACUGACCCGAAGUCAAAGUACGGGACUCGUAUAGAACUACUUGAAAUGAUAUAAUGAUGUAGUUGUACAUGCGUUGAUUUUUAAAGAGAUUAUUUCAAGAUCGUUUGUUCAUAGAGAUAAAACGCAUAAAUAUAGUAUUUAAAAGAUAUACUACGUAAUAAAAAUAUUUACGAAGAUUCCGUAUUAUCCUUAUCGUAGAAUUAAAAAAAAGGAAAUCGCGUUGAUUUUGUCUUGUUGUUAGAAACUUAGCGAUCUUUUCUUGCCUCGAACGAAAAAUAAAUAUAUAUGAAAAAGAAUAAGAUAAUUAAAAAAAAAAAAGAAAUAAAAAGUCAAGAGAUGGUAUUUUUGACGAUAAUGGGGUACGUAUAUUUUAUGAAAACUGUUAUGUGUGUGUGUGUAUAGUGAUCGUGGUAAGAGGACUAUCGCGUACCGGCUGGCUCGACGCAACAGCUACUAAUUUCUCACUUCCUCAUUAAAUCCUCGACACAUAUUAUUCCCCUGUCGUGAAGCCUCUUCUCUCGACUCCCGACAGAUCGUAAAUCAUACAACCCGCGGACGGGAGCUCGACUAUCCGCUCGAUUCUAGUUUCUCUUUUAACCUUGUUUACUUGCGUGAGUGCACGCGCUUGCUGGUACAGGGAGAUGAGCACGAUCAGAACACCGAAGGAUCUCAAUGAUGGGAUAUCUUCCUACAUCGAACCCCAGACUCCAUUGCUCUAUGGGCUCUAAUUUGCUAUAAAUACAAUAUUUUCUUUUUAUUAAUUGAAACAAAAAUAUGUAUCGAAUGUGAUUUAUAUAUUUUGUCUUUUUUAUUUUGGUAUAUUACCGAUUUGAUAACUAUGAUUCAGAACGAUUAAUCUAUGAUUCUAUUAAACCAUACACGUUAGUGGUUUUUGAUAACUAACCACUAAAUGAAAAGGAGUAUUUCUUUUUCAUAAGAUUGUAUCUAUGUAUAAGAUGAAGAAUUUUUCCAUUGUACCGACUACUAUUCUUGGUCUCUCGCGCAUAACUUUGGUACUUUGGCCUGAAUGACCCUAAAGUAAUCUAUUAUCUACCCUAAAGGAACGUAUAUGGUUCUUUUGAAAAUGAUGCAUAUCUAUUUAACUGAAAAGAAGUUCCCCGUAAGACUGGCACAAACGGAAUGCUUCUUCUUCUUCUUCUUUUUUUCUUAUCUGUCCGUGUCGUAUACGUCCAUGUUCUGUCAAUGAAACAAACUAAAGAGAAGAGAAAAGGGCCGGUAAAGGAACUGCUGGAUAAAAUAUGACUUUAUAAUAUGUGUAUAUACAUUUUAUUUUCAUUAAUGUUAAUCGAUUGAAGAUGUACACAUAUGUAUACUUGACCGGUCCUACUCAAUUUCAACAUUUGACGUAUCCAUUGCACGUACCAACAAAAAUGAAUGACACGAUUCCUUUAGUUCGUUAAUUAGUAUUAAAUGAAUAGUUCUCUCCGAGUGAUUCUAUAAAUGCGUAUUAACUUAGUACUUCUUCUCAAGUUCAAUUAUUAUUAUUAGUUCUUUCGUAUCUAUCUAUCUAUCAUAUUUAAUUGUCAAACAACGUCAAUUAAAAUGUUUAUCGUGCGUUAUUUUA